GAUGAACGCUAGCGGCAGGCUUAAUACAUGCAAGUCGAGGGGCAGCAGGUCCCGCAGCAAUGCGGGAUGCUGGCGACCGGCAAACGGGUGCGGAACACGUACAGAACCUUCCUUUAAGUGAGGAAUAGCCCGGGGAAACCCGGAUUAAUACCCCGUAACAUAAUGAAGUGGCAUCACUUUAUUAUUAUAGCAGCAAUGCGCUUGAAGAUGGCUGUGCGGCUGAUUAGGUAGUUGGCGGGGUAACGGCCCACCAAGCCCACGAUCAGUAACUGGUGUGAGAGCACGAGCAGUCACACGGGCACUGAGACACGGGCCCGACUCCUACGGGAGGCAGCAGUAAGGAAUAUUGGGCAAUGGACGCAAGUCUGACCCAGCCAUGCCGCGUGGAGGAUGAAGGUCCUCUGGAUUGUAAACUUCUUUUAUCUGGGAAGAAAUCUAUUUUUUCUAAAGUAGUUGACGGUACCAGAUGAAUAAGCACCGGCUAACUCCGUGCCAGCCGCCGCCGUAA
rnacentral:rRNA from 1 species